UUCUUCUGUAAAAGAAAAGAGAAAAAUGUAAAGAGCAACGUUCAAAGUAGGCUACGUUGUGAGAUCUGGUCAAAGUCGUGCAUCUUCGUCAAAAUGAAACGUCAUUUGUCUUGUACGUAAUCAUAUAUUCCUCUUAUACAUUUUAUUAUUACUAUUAUUAUCAAGCGAUUUUAUAUAAGAAUGAAUCGCGCGCGUUUUAUAUUUACAUAAGAAAUCAUGUCGCGUUCCUUAUUGUGCAAUGGCUUAACGAGGAUGAUAAAGAUGAUCUAAAUGUGAGAUAACAUAGGUAAUUCGUAAGAACAUAUUCGAGAGAAUAUUGAUCUUUGUGGAAAAACAGUAAUCUCCUAAUAAUCAUUUUUCAUUUGGUAUCGUUAAAACGUACCGGGCGACGAGAAAUACUCGAUCCACCAUCGAGCCCUCUCCCCACUUUACCAUUUUGUAGUAGCAUCGAUGUUGGCCGUCGAUUCGUCGGACGGAUUCGCUGACUUCGCAUUACUGAGUUUCAAUCUCGAAACGGCCACGUCUUUGCUAAUGUUCUUUUAAUGGUGCUUCUUUUGCAUACGUUACGGUGACUAACUUAAAGAAGAUCUUUACGAAAAAAUGGGUGCAAAUCGAUCAUCUUUCCGACAUAUGCGAGCAAGUACGAGGAUCGGACGAUAAAACUGGGACAAUUCAUCCGAAUGUUACUUUCUUCGUUGAAUAUGCAUACAGCCACUAAGAUGUUACCUGGAUUUUCAUUUUCACUGGGCAUUGGCUGAUGGAUCGUUGUUAACCACAUCGGUGAAAGACUUGAUGCAUCAUUAAGGACGUGGUAAUUUAAAAAUAUCAUUACUGACUCAUUGUCCGGUGUACAGCAGUGUGUAUGCAUGAUCGUUAGAUUGAAUUCUCCCUUUGGUAGACGGCCAAUUAUAUUUUCUUCCUUUUAAAUAAUCCAUAUCUGUAUACAUACGCAGAAUUAGUUGGUUAUAAAAUGCAAAUAUUUAGUUACAUGUAGACUAGACUAGUUUCAAUAAAUCCGUCUUAUAUACGGUUCCUCUGACCAAA